GGGAAUCUGCCUUUAGAUGGGGGAUAACGAGCCGAAAGGUUCGCUAAUACCGCAUAUGCCGCAAGGUGAAAGGAGUAAUCCGUCUAAAGAUGAGCCCGCGUCCGAUUAGCUAGUUGGUGGGGUAAAGGCCUACCAAGGCGACGAUCGGUAGCUGGUCUGAGAGGAUGAUCAGCCACAAUGGGACUGAGACACGGCCCAUACUCCUACGGGAGGCAGCAGUGGGGAAUUUUACGCAAUGGGGGAAACCCUGACGUAGCGACACCGCGUGAGCGAAGAAGCCCCUUGGGGUGUAAAGCUCUGUCAGCUGGAACGAAACAAAUGACGGUACCAGCAGAGGAAGCAUCGGCUAACUACGUGCCAGCAGCCGCGGUAAGACGUAGGAUGCGAGCGUUGUCCGGAUUUAUUGGGCGUAAAGAGUUCGUAGGUGGUUUGUUAAGUUUGAUGUUAAAGAUCGGGGCUCAACCUCGGGACAGCAUUGAAUACUGGCAGACUUGAGUAUGGUAGAGGCUAGUGGAAUUCCCAGUGUAGCGGUGAAAUGCGUAGAUAU
rnacentral:rRNA from 1 species